rnacentral:rRNA from 1 species
AGAGUUUGAUCAUGGCUCAGAAUGAACGCUGGCGGCAGGCCUAACACAUGCAAGUCGAACGAGGUAGCAAUACCUAGUGGCGGACGGGUGAGUAACACGUGGGAACGUACCCUUUGCUACGGAAUAGCCCUGGGAAACUGGGAGUAAUACCGUAUGAGCCCGAGAGGGGAAAGAUUUAUCGGCAAAGGAUCGGCCCGCGUUGGAUUAGGUAGUUGGUGGGGUAAUGGCCUACCAAGCCGACGAUCCAUAGCUGGUUUGAGAGGAUGAUCAGCCACACUGGGACUGAGACACGGCCCAGACUCCUACGGGAGGCAGCAGUGGGGAAUCUUAGACAAUGGGGAAACCCUGAUCUAGCCAUGCCGCGUGAUCGAUGAAGGCCUUAGGGUUGUAAAGAUCUUUCAGGUGGGAAGAUAAUGACUGUACCACCAGAAGAAGCCCCGGCUAACUCCGUG